AUUGAACGCUGGCGGCAGGCUUAACACAUGCAAGUCGAGCGGAGCGAGGGUGCUUGCACCUUAGCUUAGCGGCGGACGGGUGAGUAAAGCUUAGGAAUCUGCCUAUUAGUGGGGGACAACAUUCCGAAAGGGAUGCUAAUACCGCAUACGCCCUACGGGGGAAAGCAGGGGAUCUUCGGACCUUGCGCUAAUAGAUGAGCCUUCGUGGGAUUAGCUAGUUGGUGGGGUAAAGGCCUACCAAGGCGACGAUCUGUAGCGGGUCUGAGAGGAUGAUCCGCCACACUGGGACUGAGACACGGCCCAGACUCCUACGGGAGGCAGCAGUGGGGAAUAUUGGACAAUGGGGGGAACCCUGAUCCAGCCAUGCCGCGUGUGUGAAGAAGGCCUUUUGGUUGUAAAGCACUUUAAGCGAGGAGGAGGCGCUCUAGGUUAAUACCCUAGAUGCGUGGACGUUACUCGCAGAAUAAGCACCGGCUAACUCUGUGCCAGCCGCCGCCGUAAAAC
rnacentral:rRNA from 1 species